GACGAACGCUGGCGGCGUGCUUAACACAUGCAAGUCGAACGGUAAGGCCCUUCGGGGUACACGAGUGGCGAACGGGUGAGUAACACGUGGGUGAUCUGCCCUGCACUUCGGGAUAAGCCUGGGAAACUGGGUCUAAUACCGGAUAGGACCACUGCCUGCAUGGGUGGUGGUGGAAAGCUUUUGCGGUGUGGGAUGGGCCCGCGGCCUAUCAGCUUGUUGGUGGGGUGAUGGCCUACCAAGGCGACGACGGGUAGCCGGCCUGAGAGGGUGACCGGCCACACUGGGACUGGGAUACGGCCCAGACUCCUACGGGAGGCAGCAGUGGGGAAUAUUGCACAAUGGGCGCAAGCCUGAUACAGCGACGCCGCGUGAGGGAUGACGGCCUUCGGGUUGUAAACCUCUUUCAGCACCGACGAAGCGCAAGUGACGGUAGGUGCAGAAGAAGGACCGGCCAACUACGUGCCAGCAGUCGCCGCCG
rnacentral:rRNA from 1 species